GCUAGUAAUCGCGGAUCAGCAAGCCGCGGUGAAUACGUUCCCGGGCCUUGUACACACCGCCCGUCACACCAUGAGAGUCGGGAACACCCGAAGUCCGUAGUCUAACCGCAAGGGGGGCGCGGCCGAAGGUGGGUCCGGUAAUUGGGGUNAAGUCGUAACAAGGUAAC
rnacentral:rRNA from 1 species